GAGAGAGAACUGAGAGCAGUCACAUUAACACCAAUGAAGGGAAAGCCCUCUAGUAUUAACUACUCCAGAAGUGUCCAGCAUUUCUAGUGGGACAGAGAGUUGAGCAUCUUGGCGCAAUUGCAGAAGCCCCUGAAAUUGAGAACCUUGAACAGAGGAUCAGCUUUCCAGGAGACUGCAAAUUUAGAAUGAUGGCCCAUGUUGCUUCAAAGGCACCCUACAAAAAGGAAGGGUUCAUGUGUAAAU